rnacentral:rRNA from 1 species
GACGAACGCUGGCGGCGUGCUUAACACAUGCAAGUCGAACGGUGAAGCCCUUCGGGGUGGAUCAGUGGCGAACGGGUGAGUAACACGUGAGCAACCUGCCCUUCACCCUGGGAUAACUACCGGAAACGGUGGCUAAUACCGGAUACGACGCAUCCAGGCAUCUGGUGUGCGUGGAAAGUUUUUCGGUGGGGGAUGGGCUCGCGGCCUAUCAGGUUGUUGGUGGGGUGAUGGCCUACCAAGGCGACGACGGGUAGCCGGCCUGAGGGGGCGACCGGCAACACUGGGGAUGGGACACGGCCCAGACUCCUACGGGAGGCAGCAGUGGGGAAUAUUGCGCAAUGGGCGAAAGCCUGACGCAGCGACGCCGCGUGAGGGAUGAAGGCCUUCGGGUUGUAAACCUCUUUCAGCAGGGAAGAAGCGCUAGUGACGGUACCUGCAGAAGAAGCACCGGCUAACUACGUGCCAGCCGCCGCCGUAACAC